AUGGAUCUGAGUUCAAUCCCCAGUACCAAAAAAACAGGUGCUCAAGCCCAUUCUGUCAUUGCUUACAAAACUGGAUUCACUUACUAUUUUCACUGUGGUUACAGGCACUUAUUCCUAAUUUGUAUUCUUGUUUCCUUAAAGACAAUAUCCUCUCCUCCUACCUACCCACACUCACAUCAGCAAGGUAACCAAAAUGAUACCCUUUCUCCGGCUGCUGCUGACCAACAGACAGAACUCCACUUGGGCAACACUGUAUUCAGGGGUCAGGUGAUUCCGAUGCUCAGUUUUGUGGACCACACUAGCCGUGAUGACUGCACACAGCCAGAUCAACAAAAGAGACAAGACAUACGGCUGAUACUUUCAUAUAGAGUCACUGCUACUGUGAUCCUAUGAGAGAGGCUAGGGCCACAGGAGCUACUUCUACCAUAAGUCCUCUCCAUCCUCUACUGUUUCGGCUGUUUGCCCAGAAUAAAAUGUCCCAGCAGUCUCAUUGUAGUCCUUUCCCUGAAAAUGUGGGCUGAGUGAACAUCAGUCUCUUCAGGUAAGUAGAAAACUGCAGACAGCACCUUCCACCUGGCAUAUGGGCUGGACCAGAGGCAGAGGGCCCCAGUACAUAAGGCUACAGAGAGAGAGAGGGCAGCUGCAAGAUCUCCCAGACCUGUGGCCUGGACAUGUUUCUUCCUCUGGUUAUUCUGGACUAACCCUCCAUCUUUACAUUAAUUUCUCUCAUAAUUUAGUUUGAGUUGUUUUCUGAAAUUUACAAGAAAAUCCUAGCCAGUUCACACACAGAAUCCAGAUGUCUGCAGGACGACCGGCCUGAAGAUAUAACUCAGCUUCAUCCCAGCUCAAGUGUUCUGCCUUUGAGAUCUGUAACAGAACACAAACAUGCCCUAAAAUUCUGAGGUCACGGGGGGGGGGGGGGG
rnacentral:lncRNA from 1 species